rnacentral:rRNA from 1 species
ACUCCUACGGGAGGCAGCAGUGGGGAAUAUUGCACAAUGGGCGCAAGCCUGAUGCAGCCAUGCCGCGUGUAUGAAGAAGGCCUUCGGGUUGUAAAGUACUUUCAGCAGUGAGGAAGGUGGUAGUGUUAAUAGCACUAUCAUUUGACGUUAGCUGCAGAAGAAGCACCGGCUAACUCCGUGCCAGCAGCCGCGGUAAUACGGAGGGUGCGAGCGUUAAUCGGAAUUACUGGGCGUAAAGCGCAUGCAGGUGGUUUGUUAAGUCAGAUGUGAAAGCCCGGGGCUCAACCUCGGAAUUGCAUUUGAAACUGGCAGACUAGAGUACUGUAGAGGGGGUAGAAUUUCAGGUGUAGCGGUGAAAUGCGUAGAGAUCUGAAGGAAUACCGGUGGCGAAGGCGGCCCCCUGGACAGAUACUGACACUCAGAUGCGAAAGCGUGGGGAGC